UUAGAGUUUGAUCCUGGCUCAGAGCGAACGCUGGCGGCAGGCUUACACAUGCAAGUCGAACGCACCUUUCGGGGUGAGUGGCGGACGGGUGAGUAACACGUGGGAACGUGCCCUUAGGUUCGGAAUAACUCAGGGAAACUUGAGCUAAUACCGGAUGUGCCCUUUUGGGGAAAGAUUUAUCGCCUUUGGAGCGGCCCGCGUCGGAUUAGCUAGUUGGUGGGGUAAAGGCCUACCAAGGCUACGAUCCGUAGCUGGUCUGAGAGGAUGGCCAGCCACACUGGGACUGAGACACGGCCCAGACUCCUACGGGAGGCAGCAGUGGGGAAUCUUGCGCAAUGGGCGAAAGCCUGACGCAGCCAUGCCGCGUGGAUGAUGAAGGUCUUAGGAUUGUAAAAUCCUUUCAGCGGGGACGAUAAUGACGGUACCCGCAGAAGAAGCCCCGGCUAACUUCGUGCCAGCAGCCGCGGUAAUACGAAGGGGGCUAGCGUUGCUCGGAUUUACUGGGCGUAAAGGGCGCGUAGGCGGACAGUUAAGUCGGGGGUGAAAGCCCGGGGCUCAACCUCGGAAUUGCCUUCGAUACUGGCUGUCUUGAGUACGGGAGAGGUGUGUGGAACUCCGAGUGUAGAGGUGAGAUUCGUAGAUAUUCGGAAGAACACCAGUGGCGAAGGCGACACACUGGCCCGUUACUGACGCUGAGGCGCGAAAGCGUGGGGAGCAAACAGGAUUAGAUACCCUGGUAGUCCACGCUGUAAACGAUGAGUGCUAGUUGUCGGGCGGCAUGCCGUUCGGUGACGCAGCUAACGCAUUAAGCACUCCGCCUGGGGAGUACGGUCGCAAGAUUAAAACUCAAAGGAAUUGACGG
rnacentral:rRNA from 1 species